GGCGAUGUGGGGAGAAGGAAGACAUGGAGAGGGGAGACAAGACUAGAUGAGGGAACAGCAUUGCCUCCUUAAGUCUUGGUGUUGAGGGCAUUAAUAUAGCCCAGGCUCCACACAGAGACCCAGCCUGAGAUCAUCUUCCUCUCUGUAGAAGAUAAGGCUUUAGGCUGGACACCACUGCCUGCACACAUUACAGGUCUCCAUAGGAGGCUGAGGAGGCCAUUCCAGAUCACUGGUCCAGGCGGGCUCCCAGAGUCCUGACUGAAGGCUGGCUGAAUGGACUUCAUUGGCUGCCGGUGGUGGCUGGUCCACUCCAGGAAGCUGAGGUGCGGGAGGUUCCUCCGCCCCCUCUAGACAUUGAGGGGGCCCCGGCGUAUGCUGUUCGAGCUAUCCUGGACUCGAGGCAUCGGGCGAGGGGCCUUCAGUACCUCGUGGAUUGGGAGGGGUACGGUCCAGAGGAUAAAUGCUGGGUGCCAGUGGAGGACGUCCUGGACCCUUCGUUGCUGCGGGAUUUCCACCGUCUCCAUCCGGAUCGCCCUGCGUCUCGUCCUCCGGGUCGUCCCCGAGGUCGGUGUCGGCAAGGGGGGUACUGUCACGACUUCCACCGAAGUCGGUCCCUCUCCUUGUUCGAGCGGCGUUCGGCGGUCGACGUCACCGGCCUUCUAGCCACCGCCAAUCCACUUUUCAUUUUCCAUUUGUUUUGUCUUUGUUUUACACACCUGAUUUCAGUCCCACAAUUACUUGUUAAUUAUUAAACCCUCGGUUCCCCCAUAGGUUUUUGUGAGUGAUUGUUUGUUGAAUUUUCGGCCUGUCAUGGUGUGCGUGUAUUUGUUACUUUGUAUAUUUGACAUUUUGAGUAAAAGUACGUUGAUUACUCAUAUCUGCAGUCCUGCGCCUGACUCUCUACACCAGCUACACCUAGGACCCAUUUUUCCUAUUCUGUUGCAUCACAACCUGUAAUUUAAAUAGAUUUUUAUUUGGACUUCAUGUAAUUGACAUACACAAAAUAGUCCAAAUUGGUGAAGUGAAAUGAAAAAAAUAUCUUGUUUCAAAAAAUUCCAAAACAUAUAAAACCGUAAAAGUGAUGCGUGCAUAUGUAUUCACCCCGUUUGCUAUGAAGCCCCUAAAUAAGAUCUGGUGCAACCAAUUACCUUCAGAAGUCACAUAAUUAGUUAGAAUGCACACAUGUGGACUUUAUUUAAGUGUCACAUGAUCUGUCACAUGAUCUCAGUCUAUAUACACACCUGUUCUGAAAGGCCCCAGAGUCUGGAACACCACUAAGCAAGGGACACCACUAAGCAAGCGGCACCAUGAAGACCAAGGAGCUCUCCAAACAGGUCAGGGACAAAGUUGUG
rnacentral:lncRNA from 1 species